GAGUAACACGUGAGCAACCUGCCCCUGACUCUGGGAUAAGCCCGGGAAACUGGGUCUAAUACCGGAUACGACCACGGGUCGCAUGGCCUUGUGGUGGAAAGUUUUUCGGUUGGGGAUGGGCUCGCGGCCUAUCAGCUUGUUGGUGGGGUGAUGGCCUACCAAGGCGACGACGGGUAACCGGCCUGAGAGGGCGACCGGUCACACUGGGACUGAGACACGGCCCAGACUCCUACGGGAGGCAGCAGUGGGGAAUAUUGCGCAAUGGGCGGAAGCCUGACGCAGCGACGCCGCGUGGGGGAUGACGGCCUUCGGGUUGUAAACCUCUUUCAGCAGGGACGAAGCUAACGUGACGGUACCUGCAGAAGAAGCGCCGGCUAACUACGUGCCAGCAGCCGCGGUAAUACGUAGGGCGCAAGCGUUGUCCGGAAUU
rnacentral:rRNA from 1 species